rnacentral:rRNA from 1 species
UACGAAGGGGGCUAGCGUUGCUCGGAAUCACUGGGCGUAAAGCGCACGUAGGCGGCUUUCUAAGUCAGGGGUGAAAUCCUGGAGCUCAACUCCAGAACUGCCUUUGAUACUGGAGAGCUUGAGUCCGGAAGAGGUGAGUGGAACUCCGAGUGUAGAGGUGAAAUUCGUAGAUAUUCGGAAGAACACCAGUGGCGAAGGCGGCUCACUGGUCCGGUACUGACGCUGAGGAGCGAAAGUGUGGGGAGCGAACAGG